AAACCCUAGAAAUUGCAUCUAGGGUUUAACAAGUAAACUGUAGUCGCCUAUUUAAACCAUUUUCAUUCCCAUCUCUCUCUAUACGAUCUUUUCCUGUAAAACUAGGUCUUACAUCCGGGGCUGCAAGUUCUAUUUUUCUUGUUCUCAAAUCUUGUUCUCUUAGGAAUUCAAAGAUUCAUGAGUUGAAUCAGCUUGUUAAUUGUGAAGCCUGUGAUGAUGUUAUCCAAUUAGUUGAGAAUUUGAGAUGUAGUGGAACUGAGACCCUGUUUACAGGGAGAACCCCUUGGGGAAAACUAUAUUCAUAUGACAUUAAUGGAUCUAACCGAGGCGUUAUGGCAUUUUUCAUACUGAAGACUGGAACAACUCAUAUAGUUUGUGGUAUCAUGUUUUGAGUGUGGACAGUAAGCCAACUUAUGUCCUGUUAGCUGGUGUGUUCGGGUAACUUGUGGACAUGAAGACUGGGACAACCCAUAUAGUGUGUGUUGUGUAUCAGCUUCUUCUUUGGUAAUCAACGAGAUGGGAGUUAUAUGACAGCACUAUAUUUUCUAAUGCAAAACUCUUGUCCUACAACGUUUACUUAAGCUUUCAUAUCAGCACUACAUUUUCUAAGUCUUGGUCAAAAAUCUGACUAACAUGGUAAUUUAAUUUUGUUGUUUCACUAACUUCACUUAGGAUUGUAUUAUUGUUGUAAGCAUAUGCUGUUUAUUUGUAUGCGUCCAGAUAAACAGCAUGCGUUUAGAUUCUUGGCCCAGUACUAGAGGGAAUUGCACAUA